rnacentral:tRNA from 1 species
GGUAGGUUGGCCGGGUGGUUAAGGCGGUGGACUUAAAUUCCCCUGGAUUCAAUCUCCGCGUGGGUUCGAAUUACAUACCUAUCA